rnacentral:rRNA from 1 species
AUUGCCACUCGACCCACAAAACCUUGAGGAAACAAAAUGGCC